CUACGGGAGGCAGCAGUGGGGAAUAUUGGACAAUGGGCGCAAGCCUGAUCCAGCCAUGCCGCGUGAGUGAUGAAGGCCUUAGGGUUGUAAAGCUCUUUCGGCGGGGACGAUAAUGACGGUACCCGCAGAAGAAGCCCCGGCUAACUUCGUGCCAGCAGCCGCGGUAAUACGAAGGGGGCUAGCGUUGUUCGGAAUCACUGGGCGUAAAGCGCAUGCAGGCGGAUCGCUAAGUCGGGGGUGAAAGCCCGAGGCUCAACCUCGGAACUGCCUUUGAUACUGGGGAUCUCGAGUUCGGGAGAGGUGAGUGGAACUGCGAGUGUAGAGGUGAAAUUCGUAGAUAUUCGCAAGAACACCAGUGGCGAAGGCGGCUCACUGGCCCGAUACUGACGCUGAGGUGCGAAAGCGUGGGGAGCAAACAGGAUUAGAAACCCGUGUAGUCC
rnacentral:rRNA from 1 species